rnacentral:lncRNA from 1 species
AUGACUUUGACAAAACCGGAUACAUUUCAUGAAGGAAACCCAUACGAAAUUGAGGGAUCAAUGCAUAUGCCUCAUCAUAGGUUAUACGUUGGAUAUUCUGUUGAUCUGAAACAUCAACAAGGAUCUGGCAGGUAUGAUGCAGAACUUGGAGAAGAUGCAUGCCAUUUUGGAUCAACAGCUUUAGUCUAGGGCUAAAAUAUGUCAGGGCAUCUGAAAUGGCAAUCAGCACCUAUGUUUAGGGCAUUAAACUCAGCCUUGGAGUUUUUCUGAAAGGAAAAUAGAAGUGCAAAGGUAUGCUUCACUGAUCAUCACAAUGUACAGCAACAGCCUUAUAUUGACUCUUAACUGAUAUAGGACAACUCCCAUCUUGCUCAAGAAUUUAAACUACUGAAAAAAAAAGAAAAAAGAAAAGAAAAAACAAAGCAUCAAAACUGUAGUAAGGCCCAUUCCUAUUGUCCAUUCUUUCUUUUCUGCAGAUAUUUUCACAUGUUUAUAUUAACAGGAAUUCAUGCCACCAUUUUUCUCCAAUGUCUUUUGUGGAAUUGUAUUUUGCCCUCUUUUUUGUAUUUUGUGUGCAGCCUUGCAUUUUUAAAACCCUUGUUUGGGGCUUGAACUGCAGGUUUGACUCAGCUAGUUAAAAUGCCCUGCUUAAAAUACAAAGAGUACAUGAAAGCACAAGUAGUUAAUUAGGUUGCAUUUUUAUGAGAAAAGUUCAAGGGAUGCUUAGCUAAAAGUUUUGUAGACAUAAGCAAUGGAACAGCACACUUCCUACAGUAUGAACAGCCUUUUUUGUACUUAUGCUGCUUCAGCACUUUUUGAUUAGCUGGUUUAAUUUUGCCAACUAAAUCUCAACCCUCCAGCUUGCUCUGUAGCCACAGGCAGGAUCUGAUCUGUAACCUUUUUUUCUGUUCUUUCACUCUAAAACCAGGCAGCUAAAAUGCUAUUAGAAUCUGGUGCCAAAGUCAGGUUACAGAAAUUGCUCUCUAAUCCACAUAAUGUUUUAAUAUACUAGAUAAAAUAAGAACUAAAUGUAUUUUCAACAGUUUAGCAGUAAUAUGCAGUGAUACAUGUCUGGCGAGUGAGUGUCUCAAAGUUGAAGAGACACCUCCAAGAGAGCUCUUGGGUUUGCUCCCUGCUGAGCUGACAUUCUGCUGAGGUUCAGCAGUUUUUGAAGACUCUUCUCAUUUCA